GCGAUCAUACCAGCACUAAUGCACCGGAUUCCAUCAGAACUUCGAAGUUAAGCGUGUUUGGACGAGAGUAGGACUAGGAUGGGUGACCCCAUGGGAAGUCCUCAUGUUGCACCCC
rnacentral:rRNA from 1 species